GACGAACGCUGGCGGCGUGCUUAACACAUGCAAGUCGAACGGAAAGGCCCUGCUUUUGUGGGGUGCUCGAGUGGCGAACGGGUGAGUAACACGUGAGUAACAUGCCCUUGACUUUGGGAUAACUUCAGGAAACUGGGGCUAAUACCGGAUAGGAGCUCCUGCUGCAUGGUGGGGGUUGGAAAGUUUCGGCGGUGGGGGAUGGACUCGCGGCUUAUCAGCUUGUUGGUGGGGUAGUUGCUUACCAAGGCUUUGACGGGUAGCCGGCCUGAGAGGGUGAACGGCCACAUGGGGCCUGCGAUACGGCCCAGACUCCUACGUGAGGCAGCAGGGGGGAAUAUUGCACAAUGGGCGGAAGCCUGAGGCAGCAACGCCGCGUGCGGGAUGACGGCCUUCGGGUUGUAAACCGCUUUCGCCUGUGACGAAGCGUGAGUGACGGUAAUGGGUAAAGAAGCACCGGCUAACUACGUG
rnacentral:rRNA from 1 species